UCAAUAUAGUAUAUACAUGUUGUUCUCAUGAUCGUUAUUGUGGAUAGUGUGAAAACAAUGAUGCUGAAUAGUAAUACAAGUAUAUUGCCCUUAAAAGUCUGAAUCAUUAGAGCAAUGUCCUGAUGUUUUUUUGAAUUGCUAUUAAAAUUUUGCAGUUCAUAGGCUUAUGGAUAUAUGAAAAUGUAUGUAUUUGGUUGAGAGAAAUGAUUACUGCCCUUUGUUUAGAAAUGGGUGAGGCUUUGGCUAGAAUACUGUACAUUUUUGGGCUCACCAGUGCAAAAGACACGUUGACAAACUGGAAACUUGUUGACAAAUUGGAAUGAGACCAUAGGAGGGCUAUUAAGAUGUAAUUUGCUUCAGCCCUUUAUCCAUAUGGGAGGCUAAGGGAGCUGGAUUUGUUUGUUCUGGGGAAAAGGAGAUAAGGAUUGAUCCAAUCACUGCUUUAAUCUUGCCAGUCUCUAGAAGUCUGUGGUUUGGAAACUUUUAUACGUGAUCUGCAGAGAUCUACAAUCUAUGCCUCUAUGAUUCCUUGAAAAAUAUGUAGUUUGCACUUAACGAAGUAAAAUUAUAAUUGUUAAUUGACAGAAUAAAACCAUUGCAUAUGUUGUAUUUCCAAUGAACAUGGAUUAACUGUUGUUUUCUCUUCUAUUUAGCAUAAUUAUUGUGAUUGCUUUCAAAUACAAAGAUAAACCCAUCUGGUAACGUUUAGGGUAUGGAGAGGGUUGAGAUGGGUGAACUUUUCAUUGUGUUCUGAAGUAAUGAUUUAAACCUAGUUUCUAAUAGAACUCUGUUAUUCUCACUGAUAUCUAGAUAUAAUGUUCUAAGUGAAUGUUGAUGUGUUAUUCUCAAGGUAGUGCUCAAGGUCCAAACAUGCAAAGCUUUUUGUGGCACAAUCUGUUUAAAAAUGUAUGGCUCUAUGUACUGAGUAUCCCCAAAUGUGUGAUCUAGAGAAAUUUUGUUUGGCCAUGGGAGAGGUCAGAAGACAUAAGGCAAUUCUACUCUCCUUUGGUAUUACCAGAACUCCAAAGCUUUUCUAUCAACUGUUCUAAUUCAACAAAAGUUACAUUAUUUUGUGUAAUUGUUAGGUGUUUCAAGAACUGAAUAUGUUUCAAACACAAAUUCCAUUUACGGAGUUUAAGGAGCAGAGGGAUACAUUUUGAAAAUUGAAGUAAUUGAAAAUGAUGGGUGGAAGCCAAAUCAAAUGCACAAGGAAUAAGCUAGAAACAGUGGCUUUGAUAUCAGAAGGGAACUGAAUUCUUCCUUCCAGGUGUCACAAUUCAGGAAAUGAUAGUUCAGCCAACUCUUUUUUCUUUCUGUGUCAUAUCCUAGACUGCCAAUCCACACGUGGCCUUGCAGCAUUCACUCAGUUUCUCAGAAUAUGCUGCCUGAUCAAACAGAGCUUCUAAAUGUUGUGCCUUAGAAAUUUUGUUUCACCCUAAAAAAGUCUGUUGUUUUUAACAAGUUAUUAGCAGAAUAUUGGGGAACAUUAUCCAAUUCUUCUAGCUGCUAUUCUUGCUCUUGCAGUUCUUUUCAGAACUGAAUCAUCUGAAUUAGUGGAACUGUCACUAUGACCAGUCCUAUCAUUUUCACUGACUAAUCCUGCACUAGUACUAUUAUGUGAGAGGUUAUGUGACUGCAAUAUUAAUUAAAAAAAAAACUCUUAAAUGCAGAAUGAUCAGAAAACUAGAUCAAUUUUUUUCUUGUUCUCCUGAUAAAUGCUUUAAUUGCUUGUCUUGUGUUCUUGUUAUAUAUCUUGUUCUAUAACAGUUGUUUCACGUUGUUGAACCAUGAGCAUGAAGGUAGAUCAGCUUCUCCAUAAGGGUGACUGCUGCAGUUCUGACUCUUUCUCCAAGUGCUUAGUCUGGCUACACAUGAAGAAUGGGCAGAUUUAUGAAUUUCACAGCUGUUGCAAGCUAAACUGUAGUCUGGUUCGAUAAGCAGAAACAGGUGGGAUGUUGAGCAGACAAAAAUAAACUCCUGAACAUGUUAGCCGGGCUCUGUAAACCACACUGACACCUCUCUAAACAUAUGUAAUUUGAUAACUAAAAAAUAGUUAAAAGUUGUUGCAGAUGUACUUUAACCGUACAUUUGGCCUCUGCAUGGUAUCAAAAUACAGGGAGGGAAUGGUGAAAAGACUACUUUCAUUGCUGCAGACUUGUAGUUUGCAAGAUUUUUUAUAUACUUUGUUCCAAAGAGAAAUUCUGUAAGCUGCAGGGUUUUCUCAGGGGAAGAGAAAAGAAGGUAUGUCUGUGACUUCCUUAACAUUUAUAAGCACUGCUUGCCUGCAGAAGGGUGAACAAAGCCCAAAUAUGGCUUAAUGUUAAAAAUUUUUUGUCCACUGAAAUGUGGUAUAAUAGACACAAGAGGGAGCCAUGUAGUUUACAGACCAUCACAAUGAGAUAAUAUUCCUAAAGAAAAUACAGCCAAGUUUGAAGCUUGUAAAAAGAAUAUGCAGUGGACUUUGUGUUUGAUUUUCAGGUGCAUCUCUAUCCCUGUUUGUAGUCAGCUGCAGAGAAGUUUUUGUAAAUCAAAACAAGUUAUGAAGACAAGGAAUGCACUUAGAGAAGGUGGAAGUGUCCAAGCAAUUUACAUUUUGAACAUGACAGGUUUGAAGCAGUGUUGUAUCUUUUCCCCAGCUUUUAGUAAAGGCUGUUACUACCUGCCUAAAUAAAAGACAAUUUUAGAACUUUAGUUGACUUUUGAAAACUUUGAAGUGGUAAGUCCAAAACUAACAGAGCCCAUUAGCUAACCAUAGCUUUUGCAAUGCAUUCAGUGGCACUCUGAGUAAGUAGUACCUGUAUGUAGCUGCCUCUCAUUUGCUGGAAAAAACACCAGUUUUGUGAGACUGUCCAGGAUGGCAGUUUGGCAUUGAUUUACACAGUGUUUUCAGCGUGUAGUCUUUGGACCACUGAGGGACCACACUUUUUUCUGAAGAGCACUAGCAAGUUAUUUGUCUGGAAA